rnacentral:rRNA from 1 species
CCUACGGGUGGCAGCAGUGAGGAAUAUUGGUCAAUGGACGAGAGCCUGAACCAGCCAAGUCGCGUGAAGGAAGACUGCCCUAUGGGUUGUAAACUUCUUUUAUAAAGGAAUAAAACGAGCCACGCGUGCCUUUUUGAAUGUACUUUAUGAAUAAGGAUCGGCUAACUCCGUGCCAGCAGCCGCGGUAAUACGGAGGAUCCGAGCGUUAUCCGGAUUUAUUGGGUUUAAAGGGAGCGGAGACGGGUUGUUAAGUCAGUUGUGAAAGUUUGCGGCUCAACCGUAAAAUUGCAAUUGAUACUGGCAGUCUUGAGUACAGUAGAGGUAGGCGGAAUUCGUGGUGUAGCGGUGAAAUGCUUAGAUAUCACGAAGAACUCCGAUUGCGAAGGCAGCAUACUAAACUGCCACUGACAUUGAUGCUCGAAAGUGUGGGUAUCAAACAGGAUUAGAUACCCUUGUAGUC